rnacentral:rRNA from 1 species
GACGAACGCUGGCGGCGUGCCUAAUACAUGCAAGUUGAGCGCUGAAGGUUGGUACUUGUACCGACUGGAUGAGCAGCGAACGGGUGAGUAACGCGUGGGGAAUCUGCCUUUGAGCGGGGGACAACAUUUGGAAACGAAUGCUAAUACCGCAUAAAAACUUUAAACACAAGUUUUAAGUUUGAAGGAUGCAAUUGCAUCACUCAAAGAUGAUCCCGCGUUGUAUUAGCUAGUUGGUGAGGUAAAGGCUCACCAAGGCGAUGAUACAUAGCCGACCUGAGAGGGUGAUCGGCCACAUUGGGACUGAGACACGGCCCAAACUCCUACGGGAGGCAGCAGUAGGGAAUCUUCGGCAAGGGACGAAAGUCUGACCGAGCAACGCCGCGUGAGUGAAGAAGGUUUUCGGAUCGUAAAACUCUGUUGGUAGAGAGGAACGUUGGUGAGAGUGGAAAGCUCAUCAAGUGACGGUAACUACCCAGAAAGGGACGGCUAACUACGUG